rnacentral:rRNA from 1 species
GAUGAACGCUGGCGGCGUGCCUAAUACAUGCAAGUCGAGCGAACGGACGAGAAGCUUGCUUCUCUGAUGUUAGCGGCGGACGGGUGAGUAACACGUGUAUAACCUACCUAUAAGACUGGUAUAACUUCGGGAAACCGGAGCUAAUACCGGAUAAUAUUUUGAACCGCAUGGUUCAAAAGUGAAAGACGGUCUUGCUGUCACUUAUAGAUGGAUCCGCGCUGCAUUAGCUAGUUGGUAAGGUAACGGCUUACCAAGGCAACGAUGCAUAGCCGACCUGAGAGGGUGAUCGGCCACACUGGAACGGAGACACGGUCCAGACUCCUACGGGAGGCAGCAGUAGGGAAUCUUACGCAAUGGGCGAAAGCCUGACGGAGCAACGCCGCGUGAGUGAUGAAGGUCUUCGGAUCGUAAAAAUCUGUUAUUAGGGAAGAACAUAUGUGUAAGUAACUGUGCACAUCUUGACGGUACCUAAUCAGAAAGCCACGGCUAACUACGUG